GCGGAUGUGGCGGAAUUGGCAGACGCGCAGGUUUCAGGUGCCUGUGGGCUUAAAUGCUCGUGGAGGUUCAACUCCUCUCAUCCGCA
rnacentral:tRNA from 1 species